UGCGGAGGAUCAUUAUUCUUCUCUAUCGGGGGGUUGUAGUUGGAGAUUGUUUUCAACCGGAAACUCUCUCCUUCUCGCCCUAUCUGAUUUUACCCAUGAUUUUUGUGUACCUUAUGUUUCCUUGACAGGUUCGCCUGUCAGAGGACCCAUUUAAACCUAUUGUAAUUGCAGUCUGCGUCAGAUAAACUUAAUAGUUACAACUUUCAACAACGGAUCUCUUGGUUCUGGCAUCGAUGAAGAACGCAGCGAAAUGCGAUAAGUAGUGUGAAUUGCAGAAUUCAGUGAAUCAUCGAAUCUUUGAACGCACAUUGCGCCCCUUGGUAUUCCAUGGGGCAUGCCUGUUCGAGCGUCAUUUGUACCUUCAAGCUUUGCUUGGUGUUGGGUGUUUGUCUCGCCUCUGCGCGUAGACUCGCCUCAAAACAAUUGGCAGCCGGCGUAUUGAUUUCGGAGCGCAGUACAUCUCGCGCUUUGCACUCAAAACGACGACGUCCAAAAGUACAUUUUUACACUCUUGACCUCGGAUCAGGUAGGGAUACCCGCUGAACUUAAGCAUAUCAAUAAGCGGAGGA
rnacentral:rRNA from 1 species